rnacentral:rRNA from 1 species
AUACGGAGGGUGCAAGCGUUAAUCGGAAUUACUGGGCGUAAAGCGCGCGUAGGCGGUUAAGUCAGUCAGAUGUGAAAGCCCCGGGCUCAACCUGGGAACUGCAUUUGAUACUGCUUAGCUAGAGUAUGGUAGAGGAGAGUGGAAUUUCAGGUGUAGCGGUGAAAUGCGUAGAUAUCUGAAGGAACAUCAGUGGCGAAGGCGGCUCUCUGGACCAAUACUGACGCUGAGGUGCGAAAGCGUGGGUAGCAAACGGGAUUAGAUACCCCGGUAGUCCACGCCGUAAACGAUGUCAACUAACUGUUGGGCGGGUUUCCGCUUAGUGGUGCAGCUAACGCAAUAAGUUGACCGCCUGGGGAGUACGGCCGCAAGGCUAAAACUCAAAUGAAUUGACGGGG